UACGUAGGUGGCAAGCGUUGUCCGGAAUUAUUGGGCGUAAAGCGCGCGCAGGUGGUUUCUUAAGUCUGAUGUGAAAGCCCACGGCUCAACCGUGGAGGGUCAUUGGAAACUGGGAGACUUGAGUGCAGAAGAGGAUAGUGGAAUUCCAAGUGUAGCGGUGAAAUGCGUAGAGAUUUGGAGGAACACCAGUGGCGAAGGCGACUAUCUGGUCUGUAACUGACACUGGGGCGCGAAAGCGUGGGGAGCAAACAGG
rnacentral:rRNA from 1 species